CAGUUUGUCAUGGUGGCUGGAGCUUGAAGCUGCUGGUCACUGUAUCUGCAGUCAGGAAGAAGAGAGAAGAUUCGGGGACACCUUGCUUUCUUUUGUGUGUAGCUGUGGACGCCAUCACAUGGGACCACACUACCUGAAGCCAUGUUCAGCCAUGAAGUCUGCAGUGUAUCACUUGCCUGACAUUGAUCUUCUGAUGCACAUUGACCUCCGGCACACUAGCUCCUGUUUCCCAAUUUGCCAGCAUCAUGUGCCCCGGGAUCAGCACGCUCUGAUCUAGGUUUGCUUCACCAUGCCUGACUUCCCGCCUUACCCAUGUGUACAUUCCUGUGACUCACGUGAGGGCCACCUCUCUUUCUAACUCAUCUCCCAGGAUAUUGUUCUAGAAUCACAGCAGGCCCUCACAGUACAAGGUACACCAUGAAAAAAAAAAACCACUAAGCUGGAGUUGGAGUGUAAGUGUAUAUAGGCUUUCUA
rnacentral:lncRNA from 1 species